AUUUAGUCAUUCUGCAUUUUAUAUACUACCGGUUUGUUAUAGAAAGGUUAUAAUCUUUUAUAGGCCUUAUAAUGUGAAAUAGAUAUGUUACAAUGCAGUCAUGUGAGACACAGCUUUGCACAGGAUUGAACUAGUGUCCCUAUUUGAACAAAGUGGACAUUGUAGAAUUGAAACCAUAUUUUUGCUCAUCUUAAUUUGACCGUCUUUGAUAUGAUACUGGGAUACUGUUAGAUAUUAAUGCAUACUUCAUAAAGGUACAUUACUACAUGCAGACAUCAAAUGUACAUGGUACAUUCUGUACAUGUUCGCUGCUUUUAAGAUGAGCUUAUCAUGCAUACUCAGAGAGAUAUAAACACAAGGAAAUCUAUGACUAUUUUAGGAAGUAUGUUUUAUUAGAGUUAAGGUCUUUUGUUCUACAAUGUAUGUUGGGAACAUUCGCCUGAGAUUAUGCAUACAUGCUGUAUAUUCCUCCUGCCAGUAGUGUUCAGAAGGGAUCAUUGGAUUAUAAAGAACUGGGUUUAAAAAUCCAUUGUGUGGUGCCAUGAGGUUGCUGGGAAACAUUUCAUGAUAGAGGACUUUAAAAGGUGCUAUACAAUCCCAGUUGCACACAAAAUUUCUUAUGUAGAGCUGGUGGCAAAUUCUUCAAAUUCAGUGAUGUGGUACAAAUUUUUCACUUUUGUCCUAUCUCUUAGGAUGCCACAGGCAUUACAUAUAGAAGAGAAACCUCACAAAUGCAGUGUCUACAGAAAUAUCUUUGACAUCAUUUUAGGUUAAAAAAACCUUCUGAAUGUUUAUAGUGAGGAAAGUGUUUCCACCGGAGAAAAAAAGUGUGGCAUGUGUUUUAUAUAGGAUCUAUUCUUUACAACACUUGAGGUUGUACACUUCGGAAUUAUUAUGAGUACAGAAAACUUGUGAAAACCUUCAUGCCUUAUUCAAAUCGUAGAUAACUUCAAAUAUUUCUGCUGGGAUGUACUCUGAAAUUGUGACAAUGUAGGAAAGUUGUCAUUAAAACUUUCACUUGUUUGCCCUCAAAUAUUGCAGGAUAAAGAUAAAGUGGGGAAGCCAGAAGAAUAUAGUAUUUUUUGGAUAAUUUCCUUGAAAGUGAAAUAAAUCGUUAUAUAGGAAAACUCAUUAAGAAAUGGUUCAUUCCUUCUGAAACAAAUUAUUUACCAUCAUUACAUGAGAAAACCUGCUUUUCAGUUGU
rnacentral:lncRNA from 1 species